UACCUCCGAUGUGUGACACGUGUCUAUCUUUAAUUUAUGAAUUUAUCUUUUUCUUUUGCAGAGAUGAGUUAACAGAGUUAACUCCUUCCGUCAAGCACUCAUUACAUUCUUGGGAAGUGGUGUAUCAUGGCAUCAGAAUUCGGCAAUUUUAUUUGCCAAAUGUUUCGGCAACACUGACAUAUGUAUAAUUUCGGCGCCAAUGUUCAAAUUUCAAUUUUUUGGGGGUCAAAACAAGACUUUUGGAAUACUUUUCUCCAUUUCCUUCCCUACGAAUUAUCAGAUUCAUUACAAGAAAAAUAAUCGGACAUUGUCGGAAAUUUUUAUGGAGCCACGGCCAUAGGAGAUUGCCGGCGGAAGGCCGACCGACGGACGUCGGCAGUCUUAUACUGAAAUGUCAGACGCAACCAACGACGAUUGUAAAAAACCCCCCACCGACGCACUCCACCGCUGUCACUGCUCUUCUUCACCACCACACCGCCUAGUGUCAAUUCUCAUCUCUCUAUUGUUAAUUUUCUAUUUGCUCUUUUUCUCUCACUCACUCUUAAUUUCUCAUCUCUCUCAUAGUUACCACCGCAUUCCACCACCGCCGCCACAGCACCUUUGACGGUGAAGUCUCUCAUUAGCCGGCACCCACUCGCCGUCGUCGUCCCUGACUCGACUGUAGGUGAAUGUAUUCCUAGAUGGUACAGGUGAAUGUAUUCCAGUUUCUGAAGCUGAGCUACCUCUUACCCUACCUGAGUUGGAUGAUUUUACUCCAAGUGGGACUGGGGAGCCACCAUUGACGAAGGCCCUUUCUUGGGUACAAACAGUUGACCAAUCUCUGGAAAAUCAGCUCAGCGGGAGACUAACACUAUGCCCCAAUGGGCUGGUUCUUGCUG